CUCAGCUGCUGGAAUCCAGUCGUCAUCUGAGAAUUUCAGCUUUCUUUGAAGAAAAAAAAAGGAACGGUACAAAACCUUUUGAUCCUGAAGGUGUAUUAGGCACAAUCAGCUCAGUGGUGAUGGUUUUCUUUGGACUUCAGGUGUCCCCGCUGAUGCUCAAGUAUUGGGAAGUGGGAAGAGAGCCAUGGCGGGG